rnacentral:rRNA from 1 species
UAGGGAAUCUUCGGCAAUGGACGAAAGUCUGACCGAGCAACGCCGCGUGAGUGAAGAAGGUUUUCGGAUCGUAAAACUCUGUUGUUAGAGAAGAACAAGGACGUUAGUAACUGAACGUCCCCUGACGGUAUCUAACCAGAAAGCCACGGCUAACUACGUGCUAGCAGCCGCGGUAAUACGUAGGUGGCAAGCGUUGUCCGGAUUUAUUGGGCGUAAAGCGAGCGCAGGCGGUUUCUUAAGUCUGAUGUGAAAGCCCCCGGCUCAACCGGGGAGGGUCAUUGGAAACUGGGAGACUUGAGUGCAGAAGAGGAGAGUGGAAUUCCAUGUGUAGCGGUGAAAUGCGUAGAUAUAGGGAGGAACACCAGUGGCGAAGGCGGCUCUCUGGUCUGUAACUGACGCUGGGGCUCGAAAGCGUGGGGAGCAAACAGG